GGUUAAGCGACUAAGCGUACACGGUGGAUGCCCUGGCAGUCAGAGGCGAUGAAGGACGUGCUAAUCUGCGAUAAGCGUCGGUAAGGUGAUAUGAACCGUUAUAACCGGCGAUUUCCGAAUGGGGAAACCCAGUGUGUUUCGACACACUAUCAUUAACUGAAUCCAUAGGUUAAUGAGGCGAACCGGGGGAACUGAAACAUCUAAGUACCCCGAGGAAAAGAAAUCAACCGAGAUUCCCCCAGUAGCGGCGAGCGAACGGGGAGCAGCCCAGAGCCUGAAUCAGUGUGUGUGUUAGUGGAAGCGUCUGGAAAGGCGCGCGAUACAGGGUGACAGCCCCGUACACAAAAAUGCACAUGCUGUGAGCUCGAUGAGUAGGGCGGGACACGUGGUAUCCUGUCUGAAUAUGGGGGGACCAUCCUCCAAGGCUAAAUACUCCUGACUGACCGAUAGUGAACCAGUACCGUGAGGGAAAGGCGAAAAGAACCCCGGCGAGGGGAGUGAAAAAGAACCUGAAACCGUGUACGUACAAGCAGUGGGAGCACGCUUAGGCGUGUGACUGCGUACCUUUUGUAUAAUGGGUCAGCGACUUAUAUUCUGUAGCAAGGUUAACCGAAUAGGGGAGCCGAAGGGAAACCGAGUCUUAACUGGGCGUUAAGUUGCAGGGUAUAGACCCGAAACCCGGUGAUCUAGCCAUGGGCAGGUUGAAGGUUGGGUAACACUAACUGGAGGACCGAACCGACUAAUGUUGAAAAAUUAGCGGAUGACUUGUGGCUGGGGGUGAAAGGCCAAUCAAACCGGGAGAUAGCUGGUUCUCCCCGAAAGCUAUUUAGGUAGCGCCUCGUGAAUUCAUCUCCGGGGGUAGAGCACUGUUUCGGCAAGGGGGUCAUCCCGACUUACCAACCCGAUGCAAACUGCGAAUACCGGAGAAUGUUAUCACGGGAGACACACGGCGGGUGCUAACGUCCGUCGUGAAGAGGGAAACAACCCAGACCGCCAGCUAAGGUCCCAAAGUCAUGGUUAAGUGGGAAACGAUGUGGGAAGGCCCAGACAGCCAGGAUGUUGGCUUAGAAGCAGCCAUCAUUUAAAGAAAGCGUAAUAGCUCACUGGUCGAGUCGGCCUGCGCGGAAGAUGUAACGGGGCUAAACCAUGCACCGAAGCUGCGGCAGCGACGCUUAUGCGUUGUUGGGUAGGGGAGCGUUCUGUAAGCCUGUGAAGGUGUGCUGUGAGGCAUGCUGGAGGUAUCAGAAGUGCGAAUGCUGACAUAAGUAACGAUAAAGCGGGUGAAAAGCCCGCUCGCCGGAAGACCAAGGGUUCCUGUCCAACGUUAAUCGGGGCAGGGUGAGUCGACCCCUAAGGCGAGGCCGAAAGGCGUAGUCGAUGGGAAACAGGUUAAUAUUCCUGUACUUGGUGUUACUGCGAAGGGGGGACGGAGAAGGCUAUGUUGGCCGGGCGACGGUUGUCCCGGUUUAAGCGUGUAGGCUGGUUUUCCAGGCAAAUCCGGAAAAUCAAGGCUGAGGCGUGAUGACGAGGCACUACGGUGCUGAAGCAACAAAUGCCCUGCUUCCAGGAAAAGCCUCUAAGCAUCAGGUAACAUCAAAUCGUACCCCAAACCGACACAGGUGGUCAGGUAGAGAAUACCAAGGCGCUUGAGAGAACUCGGGUGAAGGAACUAGGCAAAAUGGUGCCGUAACUUCGGGAGAAGGCACGCUGAUAUGUAGGUGAAGUCCCUCGCGGAUGGAGCUGAAAUCAGUCGAAGAUACCAGCUGGCUGCAACUGUUUAUUAAAAACACAGCACUGUGCAAACACGAAAGUGGACGUAUACGGUGUGACGCCUGCCCGGUGCCGGAAGGUUAAUUGAUGGGGUUAGCGGUAACGCGAAGCUCUUGAUCGAAGCCCCGGUAAACGGCGGCCGUAACUAUAACGGUCCUAAGGUAGCGAAAUUCCUUGUCGGGUAAGUUCCGACCUGCACGAAUGGCGUAAUGAUGGCCAGGCUGUCUCCACCCGAGACUCAGUGAAAUUGAACUCGCUGUGAAGAUGCAGUGUACCCGCGGCAAGACGGAAAGACCCCGUGAACCUUUACUAUAGCUUGACACUGAACAUUGAGCCUUGAUGUGUAGGAUAGGUGGGAGGCUUUGAAGUGUGGACGCCAGUCUGCAUGGAGCCGACCUUGAAAUACCACCCUUUAAUGUUUGAUGUUCUAACGUGGACCCGUAAUCCGGGUUGCGGACAGUGUCUGGUGGGUAGUUUGACUGGGGCGGUCUCCUCCUAAAGAGUAACGGAGGAGCACGAAGGUUGGCUAAUCCUGGUCGGACAUCAGGAGGUUAGUGCAAUGGCAUAAGCCAGCUUGACUGCGAGCGUGACGGCGCGAGCAGGUGCGAAAGCAGGUCAUAGUGAUCCGGUGGUUCUGAAUGGAAGGGCCAUCGCUCAACGGAUAAAAGGUACUCCGGGGAUAACAGGCUGAUACCGCCCAAGAGUUCAUAUCGACGGCGGUGUUUGGCACCUCGAUGUCGGCUCAUCACAUCCUGGGGCUGAAGUAGGUCCCAAGGGUAUGGCUGUUCGCCAUUUAAAGUGGUACGCGAGCUGGGUUUAGAACGUCGUGAGACAGUUCGGUCCCUAUCUGCCGUGGGCGCUGGAGAACUGAGGGGGGCUGCUCCUAGUACGAGAGGACCGGAGUGGACGCAUCACUGGUGUUCGGGUUGUCAUGCCAAUGGCACUGCCCGGUAGCUAAAUGCGGAAGAGAUAAGUGCUGAAAGCAUCUAAGCACGAAACUUGCCCCGAGAUGAGUUCUCCCUGACCCUUUAAGGGUCCUGAAGGAACGUUGAAGACGACGACGUUGAUAGGCCGGGUGUGUAAGCGCAGCGAUGCGUUGAGCUAACCGGUACUAAUGAACCGUGAGGCUUAACCUU
rnacentral:rRNA from 1 species